rnacentral:rRNA from 1 species
CGUACGAAUCUCCUGGUAUGUGGUGGACAACCUUGGGGAAACUCAAUCUACUACCGCAUAGCCCUACGGGGGAAAUCGGAUGAUCUUCGGACUUCGCUCUAUCUGAUGACCUGCGUAGGAUUAGCUUGGGUUGUGGGGUACAGGCUCCCCACAGCGACAUCCUUAGCUGGUCUGAGACGAUGAUCAGCCACACUGGCACUGAGACACGCCCAUACUCCUACGGGAGGCAGCACUGGGGAAUAUCGCACAAUGGGCGCCGCCUGCUCCAGCAAUGCCGCGUGUGUGAAGCAUGCCGCGGGCUUGUAGCCUUUUAGUAGCGAGAAAGUUGAUCGUUCCUCCCAUGGGUCGUGACGUACUGUCCAGUAUCCCCUGGUAAGUCCGUGCCUGUUCCUGCGGUAA